UACGGGGGGGGCAAGCGUUGUUCGGAAUCACUGGGCUUAAAGCGCGUGUAGGCGGGUCGGAACGUCGGUCGUUGAAAUCCCCCGGCUCAACCGGGGAAGGGGCGCCGAUACGGCCGGCCUGGAGGGACGUAGGGGGGGCUGGAACUUCCGGUGGAGCGGUGAAAUGCGUUGAGAUCGGAAGGAACGCCCGUGGCGAAAGCGAGCCCCUGGACGUCUACUGACGCUGAGACGCGAAAGCCAGGGGAGCGAACGGG
rnacentral:rRNA from 1 species